rnacentral:rRNA from 1 species
UACGGAGGGUGCAAGCGUUAUCCGGAUUCACUGGGUUUAAAGGGUGCGUAGGCGGAUAGGUAAGUCCGUGGUGAAAUCCUGCAGCUUAACUGCAGAACUGCCAUGGAUACUAUCUAUCUUGAAUGUCGUGGAGGUUGCGGAAUAUGUCAUGUAGCGGUGAAAUGCUUGAGAUACAUAGAACACCCAUUGCGAAGGCAGCUAAACUA